GUGGGGAAUUUUGGACAAUGGGCGCAAGCCUGAUCCAGCAAUGCCGCGUGCAGGAAGAAGGCCUUCGGGUUGUAAACUGCUUUUGUACGGAACGAAACGGUCCUGGUUAAUACCUGGGGCUAAUGACGGUACCGUAAGAAUAAGCACCGGCUAACUACGUGCCAGCAGCCGCGGUAAUACGUAGGGUGCAAGCGUUAAUCGGAAUUACUGGGCGUAAAGCGUGCGCAGGCGGUUUUGUAAGACAGGCGUGAAAUCCCCGGGCUCAACCUGGGAAUUGCGCUUGUGACUGCAAGGCUGGAGUGCGGCAGAGGGGGAUGGAAUUCCGCGUGUAGCAGUGAAAUGCGUAGAUAUGCGGAGGAACACCGAUGGCGAAGGCAAUCCCCUGGACCUGUACUGACGCUCAUGCACGAAAGCGUGGGGAGCAAACAGGAUUAGAUACCCCUGUAGUCC
rnacentral:rRNA from 1 species